rnacentral:rRNA from 1 species
UACGGGGGGGGGCAAGCGUUGUUCGGAAUUACUGGGCGUAAAGCGCGUGUAGGCGGCUAGGUAAGUCUGCUCUGAAAGCCCGGGGCUCAACCCCGGGAGGCGGGUGGAUACUGUCUAGCUCGAGUCCGGAAGAGGAGUGUGGAAUUCCUGGUGUAGCGGUGAAAUGCGCAGAUAUCAGGAGGAACACCAAUGGCGAAGGCAGCACUCUGGGACGUGACUGACGCUGAGACGCGAAAGCGUGGGGAGCAAACAGG